AUCUCUGGUUGGGGAUCUCUCUAUUGUGGAGUCCUUCCUGUAAGACUAGGCCAGCAGGGAUGGCAGGCAAGUAGAGCACUCUCUAGCCUGAUGAGACUUGAGGAAAUAAAGACUUGGAAUCUGGUGCUAGAAGUUGCUAGGUGUUAAGGCUAUUGAGAGUAUCACUAAAAGUAACCUCUUCUGCUGCCUCACUGAGAAAAGGAGGGAGGAACUUGAUGCAGCACAGUGGAAGAGGAGUCUAAAAGCCAUUGUGGUAUUGUGCCACCUCUAGUAAUUGGCACUCACCCAUAAUGCAUGUUGGUGGCCUCAAGAAAUCUGUGCUGAGUACUUAAGGAAUUUACUGACCUUCAGAUUGAAGAGAAAUCUGAGGAAGAGCAAGAUGAAGAAGGUGGGUCAGCAGCACUACAGCUCUUCAUUAUGCCAUAACCUGCUGCUAUCAGACUGAAAAUAUUUCCAUUCUUCUUAUUCUCACCUUGAGCCUGAACCUAAUCCUAUGCUAAAGUAAAUUCUGCAUAGAUCAGGCAGAUUUCAUCAUAGUGCCUUUUGUAAAGUGCAGAUGUGAAUAUUACAUUACUUGAAAUGACAAAAAAUAAUUACUCUGUAUAUACAAUAACCAUACAGUGGCUUAAUUAAUGUUGGUUGUUUGGGUGGAUGGUUUAGGUUUUUCAUUUUGCCUUUUGGGGUUUGCUUUUUUUUGUUUGUUUGUUUCUUGGUUUACUUGUGUUGAAAAACUUCCCUUGCCUUACAAGCCUCAUCAUAGUAUGUCCUCAUCUUGGAGCGCUACACUACAUAUCUUGUAAAAAUACUCUCCACCAGUAUAAAUAAUGGCUUUAAAUGUGUCACUCCUUAUUAAUAUCACAGCAUUAGAAACCAGAUACAAAAGGGAGGAGGGCAAAAUAGUUGUUGCUUUAUUUAGAAACAAAGUACAGGGGGAAAAAAAUGUCUCGCUAGUUACAAAGCACAUGGCGAUGUCACUUUCCACAAAGAUUUUGGUGCAAAGAAUAUAACAGUCUGUAUCAGUUAAUUUUUGUAACACUUAACACUAACUGGAGCAGAAGGAAAAUACAGUAUGUUCUGUUACUGCCGUUGUUUAUGGCUAAAUAUAGGAAUCCUAUAGAGCCUGUAGGUAAAUUCUUGUUAUCUAAGGGAUCAUUCUUUACUCAGUCAAGUCUACGCAGGAAGACAAGGCCAUCAUACACUGUUAAGAUGCCUAAUGUUUGCUGAAGAAUGUUUAGAAACAUAUGACCUGAGUUCACUCUUAAAUAAGUUCUCCUCUUCAAUGUGUUCACAGCCAAACCACUGCCUGCAUCUCAGCUGUAUGAAAAAAAGCCUUUAUAUCAGAAUGUUACCUGUAUGCACAUCAUGCCCUCAUACGUCCUCCUUAACUUUAAAGAGAAAUCUGAAUAUUCAGGGAGGAAAGAGUUGCAGUGAAAUCCAGAGUUUUCCACAACCUUGAAAGAGUGGUUAUUGCGGUUGCAGUACUAGUCAACUGCUUUGCCAAAGAAACAGCGAUACAAGGCCCCUGUGCAAUGCAUUGUUGUGCAUAUAAUUGUGUGUAACAUGACAUGAUUUCUUAGGGGAGAUUUUUUAAUUGAUUUUAAAUAUAAG
ensembl:lncRNA